rnacentral:rRNA from 1 species
UCCGUAGGUGAACCUGCGGAAGGAUCAUUAGUGAAUCUAGGACGUCCAACUUAACUUGGAGUCCGAACUCUCACUUUCUAACCCUGUGCAUCUGUUAAUUUGGUUAGUAGUCUCCGGACGAACCCCAUUUUCACUUCAAAACACAAAGUCUAUGAAUGUAUUUUAAAUUUUAUAACAAAACAAAACUUUCAACAACGGAUCUCUUGGCUCUCGCAUCGAUGAAGAACGCAGCGAAAUGCGAUACGUAAUGUGAAUUGCAGAAUUCAGUGAAUCAUCGAAUCUUUGAACGCACCUUGCGCUCCUUGGUAUUCCGAGGAGCAUGCCUGUUUGAGUGUCAUGAAAUCUUCAACCCACCUCUUUCUUAGUGAACUUGGUGGUGCUUGGUUUCUGAGCGCUGCUCUGCCUCACGGCUCAGCUCGUUCGUAAUGCAUUAGCAUCCGCAACCGUAACUUCGGAUUGACUUGGCGUAAUAGACUAUUCGCUGAGGAAUUCUAGCUUGACUAGAGCCGAGUUGGGUUAAAGGAAGCUCCUAAUCCUAAAGUCUAUUUUUUUGAUUAGAUCUCAAAUCAGGUAGGACUACCCGCUGAACUUAAGCAUAUCAAUAA